rnacentral:rRNA from 1 species
CAGUAGCCGCGGUAAUGCGAAGGGUGCAAGCGUUACUCGGAAUUACUGGGCGUAAAGCGUGUGUAGGUGGUUGUUUAAGUCUGUCGCGAAAGCCCUGGGCUCAACCUGGGAAUUGCGAUGGAUACUGGGCGACUAGAGUGCGGUAGAGGAUAGUGGAAUUUCCGGUGUAGCAGUGAAAUGCGUAGAGAUCGGAAGGAACAUCUGUGGCGAAGGCGACUAUCUGGGCCAACACGGACACUGAGGCACGAAAGCGUGGGGAGCAAACAGGAUUAGAUACCCGGGUAGUCCCUGUCUCUUAUAA